rnacentral:misc_RNA from 1 species
UCCGGUUUAACACCGGCAGUCUCACUAGAGUCCCCAACUUUACUUGAUGGCAACAAGUGACAAGGGUUGCGCUCGUUACGGGACUUAACCCAACAUCUCACAACACGAGCUGACGACAGCCAUGCAGCACCUGUCUCUCGGUUCCCGAAGGCACAGUCGAAUCUCUUCAACCUUCCGAGGAUGUCAAGGGUAGGUAAGGUUUUUCGCGUUGCAUCGAAUUAAACCACAUGCUCCACCGCUUGUGCGGGCCCCCGUCAAUUCCUUUGAGUUUUAACCUUGCGGCCGUACUCCCCAGGCGGAGAACUUAACGCGUUAGCUACGCCACUAAAUGAUUUAAUUCACCCAACAGCUAGUUCUCAUCGUUUACGGCGUGGACUAC